rnacentral:misc_RNA from 1 species
CCACAGCGACAUCAGCGGGACGCCCGAGACAGAGACACACACGCACAGAUACCGUUUCUCUGAAGCCGCCCAACAUGGUGUGGAAUGUGCGUGGCAAGGUGGGCGUCAUCACCGGUGCUUCCUGCGCCCUCGGCCGCGAAAUCAUGGAGAGGCUGGCCAGCCAGCAUCAGAUGAAGCUGGCGUGUGUCUCUCGCAAGCCGCUUGCCACACCGCUGCCUGCUGGCUGCGCGGCUUUUGUGGCCGACGUGAGUCGCGGCGACGACUGCGACGCCCUCAUGAAAUCGGUUCAACGUGAGCUUGGCGCGGUGUCGCUUCUCAUCAACUGCGCCGGCGUUACACUCAGCAAGGUCCACGUGAUGUGCACCGACGACGACUACGCGGCUGUCAUGAAUACAAACCUGAAGGGUGCGCUGCAGGUGACGCGUGCGGCGCUGCGGCAUGGCGGAUUGCUCAAACUGCAGGAUGGGGCCGUGCUGCACAUAGGCUCUGUGGCGGGUGUGGUGGGCAACGAGGGGCAGGUGCUGUACAGCGCGUCCAAGGCUGCCCUCAGCGGGGCGGUCAAGUCGUGGGCGCUUGAGUAUGGCCCGCGCAACAUCCGCUUCAACGUGGUCGCACCGGGCCUCAUCGAUGGGGAAGGCAUGGCCACGACACUGACCGAGGGGCAGAAGCAACGUUGGCGUGAUGACUGUCCGCUCAAGCGGCUUGCCACCGCUUCGGAGGUGGCAGACAUGGCCGUGGCCGUGGCGCUGUGCCGCUACAUGAAUGGGCAGACAAUCGCCGUCGAUGGCGGCUUAUCGUGACGUGUGAGAGAUGACACGUUCACACGACUGUCUGUGUACGCGCCAUUUACAGGUCUCUGCAGGUGCUUCACCAUGUAUGGGGUGCGUAAACAGCGAUGCAUUU